CCUACGGGAGGCUGCAGUGAGGAAUAUUGGUCAAUGGACGAGAGUCUGAACCAGCCAAGUAGCGUGAAGGAUGAAUGCCCUAUGGGUUGUAAACUUCUUUUAUAUGGGAAUAAAACGUUCCACGUGUGGGAUUUUGUAUGUACCAUAUGAAUAAGGAUAGGCUAACUCCGUGCCAGCAGCCGCGGUAAUACGGCGGAUCCGAGCGUUAUCCGGAUUUAUUGGGUUUAAAGGGAGCGUAGGUGGAUUGUUAAGUCAGUUGUGAAAGUUUGCGGCUCAACCUGAAAAUUGCAGUUGAAUCUGGCAGUCUUGAGUACAGUAGAGGUGGGCGGAAUUCGUGGUGUAGCGGUGAAAUGCUUAGAUAUCACGAAGAACUCCGAUUGCGAAGGCAGUUCACUGGACUGCAACUGACACUGAGGCUCGAAAGUGUGGGUAUCAAACAGGAUUAGAUACCCCUGUAGUC
rnacentral:rRNA from 1 species